AGAUUCUUGUGCUUAAUAUUUCCCUUUUGAAAUACAUUUAGAGAACGCUGUUUGCUUAACUGAUAGCAUAAGCUCUAUGCCCAUGGAUUGUUGGGUUUUCUUUUAAGCAGACAGCACCUAGUAGCUUACACGAGCUAGUUAUUAGUGGUUAGCUUAUAAAGUUGAAAGCUUUGCAUCAUAAAAACAGUUGUGUUGUAUAUGAACCUUUUGAUUGCGUGAGUGGGUCUAGAUGGCUUAAUUUAAAUAUUCAGAACUUGGAUCAUUUGAAGCUUGGUUUUCUAAAUUCUUCUAUUUUAUUUUAUAUUAUUUAUAACCAACUUUUAGUUCUAGCAGUCUAGCAGGACUGCCCGGUAUUGUACUGUAUUAUGUAUCUUAGGAAUCUUCUUAAAUUCCUAAUUUUAAGUGAAAUGUGACUGAACUUUACCUUCUACCAAUAUAUAUAUGCAACUCAAAACUAAGUCUUUUUCUAUUUAAAUCUCUGCUCCAAGGACGGGCAUCGUGUCAAAAAAUACAGAGGCAUGGGUUCCCUUGAAGCUAUGACAAAGGGGAGUGAUGCCAGAUACCUUAGUGACACGCUUAAGCUUAAGGUUGCUCAAGGAGUUGUUGGAGCGGUUGCAGACAAGGGCUCUGUAUUGAGGUUCAUUCCUUAUACGAUGCAAGCUGUGAAGCAAGGAUUCCAGGACCUGGGUGCAUCGUCCUUGAAGUCAGCCCAUGAUCUCUUACGAUCGGAAUCUCUUCGACUAGAGGUAAGAACCGGAGCUGCCCAAGUCGAAGGAGGGAUCCACGGUCUUGUUUCUUACGAGAAGAAGGCAUUCUGAUGCGGUGACCUGCAUUGGCCACGGUCCAGAUCGCGCUGGUGGCUGAAGUUCCAAUUCCAUUGUGGUCUUCUCUGAUGCCCGGUAGCUCGUCUGAGCCACUGUAUUGUACAAUUCCGGGAACUGCUUGUUUCGCUUGCCUGCAAGCACGGAUACCAAGCCCGGCACCGUUGUAACUUUGUGGUGUCAUUUCAAACACUUCAACUCAGCAUUCCAAAUGAACAGCUGCUGUGCUUUUGGUGAAAUAAACUGCGAAUUGGAUUGGUUGAUGGA